AGAGUUUGAUCCUGGCUCAGGACGAACGCUGGCGGCGUGCCUAAUACAUGCAAGUCGAACGAAGCUUUCUUUCACCGAAUGCUUACAUUCACCGAAAGAAGCUUAGUGGCGAACGGGUGAGUAACACGUAGGCAACCUGCCCAAAAGAGGGGGAUAACACUUGGAAACAGGUGCUAAUACCGCAUAACCAUGAACACCGCAUGAUGUUCAUGUAAAAGACGGCUUUUGCUGUCACUUUUGGAUGGGCCUGCGGCGUAUUAACUCGUUGGUGGGGUAACGGCCUACCAAGGUGAUGAUACGUAGCCGAACUGAGAGGUUGAUCGGCCACAUUGGGACUGAGACACGGCCCAAACUCCUACGGGAGGCAGCAGUAGGGAAUCUUCCACAAUGGACGAAAGUCUGAUGGAGCAACGCCGCGUGAAUGAAGAAGGCCUUCGGGUCGUAAAAUUCUGUUGUCAGAGAAGAACGUGCGUGAGAGUAACUGUUCACGUAUUGACGGUAUCUGACCAGAAAGCCACGGCUAACUACGUGCCAGCAGCCGCGGUAAUACGUAGGUGGCGAGCGUUGUCCGGAUUUAUUGGGCGUAAAGGGAACGCAGGCGGUCUUUUAAGUCUGAUGUGAAAGCCUUCGGCUUAACCGAAGUAGUGCAUUGGAAACUGGAAGACUUGAGUGCAGAAGAGGAGAGUGGAACUCCAUGUGUAGCGGUGAAAUGCGUAGAUAUAUGGAAGAACACCAGUGGCGAAAGCGGCUCUCUGGUCUGUAACUGACGCUGAGGUUCGAAAGCGUGGGUAGCAAACAGGAUUAGAUACCCUGGUAGUCCACGCCGUAAACGAUGAGUGCUAAGUGUUGGAGGGUUUCCGCCCUUCAGUGCUGCAGCUAACGCAUUAAGCACUCCGCCUGGGGAGUACGGUCGCAAGACUGAAACUCAAAGGAAUUGACGGGGGCCCGCACAAGCGGUGGAGCAUGUGGUUUAAUUCGAAGCAACGCGAAGGACCUUACCAGGUCUUGACAUCUUCUGACAAUUCCAGAGAUGGAACGUUCCCUUCGGGGACAGAAUGACAGGUGGUGCAUGGUUGUCGUCAGCUCGUGUCGUGAGAUGUUGGGUUAAGUCCCGCAACGAGCGCAACCCUUAUUGUCAGUUGCCAUCAUUAAGUUGGGCACUCUGGCGAGACUGCCGGUGACAAACCGGAGGAAGGUGGGGAUGACGUCAAAUCAUCAUGCCCCUUAUGACCUGGGCUACACACGUGCUACAAUGGACGGUACAACGAGUCGCUAACUCGCGAGGGCAAGCUAAUCUCUUAAAGCCGUUCUCAGUUCGGAUUGCAGGCUGCAACUCGCCUGCAUGAAGUCGGAAUCGCUAGUAAUCGCGAAUCAGCAUGUCGCGGUGAAUACGUUCCCGGGCCUUGUACACACCGCCCGUCACACCAUGAGAGUUUGUAACACCCAAAGUCGGUGGGGUAACCUUUUGGAGCCAGCCGCCUAAGGUGGGACAGAUGAUUGGGGUGAAGUCGUAACAAGGUA
rnacentral:rRNA from 1 species